rnacentral:rRNA from 1 species
CAGUCGCCGCGGGAAUACGUAGGGUGCGAGCGUUAAUCGGAAUUACUGGGCGUAAAGCGUGCGCAGGCGGUUUUGUAAGACAAGCGUGAAAUCCCCGGGCUCAACCUGGGAAUGGCGCUUGUGACUGCAAAGCUAGAGUGCGGCAGAGGGGGAUGGAAUUCCGCGUGUAGCAGUGAAAUGCGUAGAUAUGCGGAGGAACACCGAUGGCGAAGGCAAUCCCCUGGGCCUGCACUGACGCUCAUGCACGAAAGCGUGGGGAGCAAACAGGAUUAGAUACCCCCGUAGUCCCUGUCUCUUAUAU